rnacentral:rRNA from 1 species
CCUACGGGUGGCAGCAGUGGGGAAUAUUGGACAAUGGGCGAAAGCCUGAUCCAGCCAUGCCGCGUGUGUGAAGAAGGCCUUCGGGUUGUAAAGCACUUUCAGUGGGGAAGAAAGCCUUGGGGCUAAUACCCUCGAGGAAGGACAUCACCCACAGAAGAAGCACCGGCUAACUCCGUGCCAGCAGCCGCGGUAAUACGGAGGGUGCGAGCGUUAAUCGGAAUUACUGGGCGUAAAGCGCGCGUAGGCGGUCUGAUAAGCCGGUUGUGAAAGCCCCGGGCUCACCUGGGAACGGCAUCCGGAACUGUCAGGCUAGAGUGCAGGAGAGGAAGGUAGAAUUCCCGGUGUAGCGGUGAAAUGCGUAGAGAUCGGGAGGAAUACCAGUGGCGAAGGCGGCCUUCUGGACUGACACUGACGCUGAGGUGCGAAAGCGUGGGUAGCAAACAGGAUUAGAUACCCCAGUAGUC